GGAGCGGACCGGGUGAUCGCCGGUCGAUUUUGUGUGAAUAUCCCUUCUGGGAGACCCCGCAGAAUCGACGGGAGGAAAGUCCGGGCUCCACAGGGCGCAGUGGUGGGUAACGCCCACCGGCCGUGAGGUCAGGGAAAGUGCCACAGAAAAGAAACCGCCUUCAAAGUUCGCUUUGAAGGUAAGGGUGAAACGGUGAGGUAAGAGCUCACCAGCAGGUCGGGUGACCGAUCUGGCUCGGUAAACCCCACUGGGAGCAAGGCCAAGCAGGAAGAAGUUCGACCCUUCGGGGAUCGGCGCGGAGUUGCUCGCUCCGCUCCCGCCUUCCGGGUCGGCUGCUGGAGGUGACAGGCAACUGUCAUCCUAGAGAAAUGGUCACCCCCGCAACGUCCUUUCGAGGGCUCUGCGAGGACAAAACCCGGCUUACAGGUCCGCUCCGGUC
rnacentral:RNase_P_RNA from 1 species